CGCUGGGUCGUUGCAGCUGUGACUGCACCUGCAUAAAAAAGGGCUGCAAACUCGGGUGGCGGUCUGCCUAAAGCAAGCUAUCAUGAAGGCUUGUGCACUGGCUGCCUUUAUCGUAGGUUCAAUUGUGGCAGGAGGAGCUCGACAAUCCAUGGGGGACUUCUAUGGCAUAGCUAUGGCACCAAUUGUUGACGCCACUAUUACCCGGCCAGACUUGGUGACAGGUGGUACCAAAUACGCAAUAUGCAAUCAAUGCAGCUGCAAGAUCGCUUGGGAACUAACAAAACAUCGAAAAGAUGGUUGCUGCAAAAAAACGUUUGAAUUCACCUGUACGUGCAACAAUUAUCGGUGCGACAAAAAGGAGACGCAGCUCUGCAUGUAUAAGUUGGCUUCCAACAUGUAAGGGAUGUUUCUAGCCUAAAUGUUCCACUGGGGGAUCACUAAAUAAAGCUUGGUUUACCUACUGUU